rnacentral:rRNA from 1 species
GCUAAGACUGGAUAGGAAAUAAAAAGGCAUCUUUUUAUUUUUAAAAGACCUUUUUCGGAAGGUAUGCUUAGAGAUGAGCUUGCGCCACAUUAGUUUGUUGGUGGGGUAAUGGCCUACCAAGACGAUGAUGUGUAGCUGGACUGAGAGGUCGAACAGCCACAUUGGGACUGAGACACGGCCCAAACUCCUACGGGAGGCAGCAGUAGGGAAUUUUCGGCAAUGGAGGAAACUCUGACCGAGCAACGCCGCGUGAACGAUGAAGUAUUUCGGUAUGUAAAGUUCUUUUAUUGAAGAAGAAAAAAUAGUGGAAAAACUAUCUUGACGUUAUUCAAUGAAUAAGCCCCGGCUAACUAUGUGCCAGCAGCCGCGGUAAGACAUAGGGGGCGAGCGUUAUCCGGAAUUAUUGGGCGUAAAGGGUGCGUAGGCGGUUAGGAAAGUCUAUAAUUUAAUUUCAGUGCUUAACGCUGUCUUGUUAUAGAAACUACCUUGACUAGAGUUAGAUAGAGGCAAGCGGAAUUCCAUGUGUAGCGGUAAAAUGUGUAAAUAUAUGGAGGAACACCAGAAGCGUAGGCGGCUUGCUGGGUCUUGACUGACGCUGAGGCACGAAAGCGUGGGUAGCAAACAGGAUUAGAUACCCUGGUAGUCCACGCCGUAAACGAUGAGUACUAAGUGUCGGGAUAAAACUCGGUACUGAAGUUAACACAUUAAGUACUCCGCCUGAGUAGUACGUACGCAAGUAUGAAACUUAAAGGAAUUGACGGGACUCCGCACAAGCGGUGGAUCAUGUUGUUUAAUUCGAAGAUACACGAAAAAUCUUACCAGGUCUUGACAUGCUCUGCAAAGCUAUAGAAAUAUAGUGGAGGUUAUCAGGGACACAGGUGGUGCAUGGUUGUCGUCAGUUCGUGUCGUGAGAUGUUAGGUUAAGUCCUAAAACGAGCGCAACCCUUGUCGUUAGUUACCAGCACGUAAUGGUGGGCACUUUAACGAGACUGCCAAUUAAACAUUGGAGGAAGGUGAGGAUUACGUCAAAUCAUCAUGCCCCUUAUGAUCUGGGCUACAAACGUGAUGCAAUGGCUGUUACAAAGAGUAGCUGAAGCGCGAGUUUUUAGCCAAUCUCAAAAAAGCAGUCUCAGUUCGGAUUGAAGUCUGUAACUCGACUUCAUGAAGUUGGAAUCGCUAGUAAUCGCGAAUCAGCAUGUCGCGGUGAAUACGUUCUCGGGGUUUGUACACACCGCCCGUCAA